rnacentral:rRNA from 1 species
AGUUUUGAGCUAAAUAUACUUAUAAUAUUAGUUUAUUUAUGAAGGUGUUGUAAAACCUUAUUAAAAAUUAUAUUUAGGGGUGAUAGGCCUUUCAAAAACUAAGAUAUCUUGAAUCUAAUUAAAAGUAUAUAGUACAUUCAACACAACUAUUAAGUGAUUAGGCUUUAUAGAACUAUUAACUUAUAAGGAUUUUUAUUUAUUAUAAUUUAAUAAUUAAGUAUAUAAAUAGAAUAAUAUACAUAUAUUAUAGUUUAUAAGGAGUAAUUAGAUAAAUUAAAGUUCAUAAAUUUUGUAAUAAUGUUAAUAUUAGUAUUAAGUUUAUAUUUAUAUGAUGAACUCGGCAAAAAUGUUUCUCAACUGUUUAUCAAAAACAUAACUAUGUGUAUAAAUACAUAGCGGUUUCUGCUCAA